AUGGCUCUCUCGUGGCAUAUAGCGCCGGCCGCUCGCUCCGUCCCGAGUAAAGGAGAGGCUUCCAGAGUCCACUCCGUCCAGGCUUGUUGGUUGGCUUGGACCUUGGAGCUCGGCGAAAUCCGGAGCGUCUCGCGUGCGCGUUGGGGAGUGUCAGCAGCCAUGGCCGCCAGGAGGGUGCUCCUGCUCUGCGGGGACUACAUGGAGGACUACGAGGCCAUGGUCCCGUUCCAGGCGCUGCAGGCGUACGGGGUGUCCGUCCACGCCGCCUGCCCCGGCAAGAAGGCCGGCGACGCCUGCCCCACCGCCGUCCACAAGCCCGUCGGCCACCAGACAUAUGCAGAGUCGAAAGGUCACAACUUUGCACUUAAUGCUUCAUUCGAUGAGGUUGAUGCUGCUGGGUAUGAUGGAUUGGUGAUUCCUGGAGGCCGUGCACCAGAGUACCUUGCGAUGGAUGAAAAAGUGCUCGACUUAGUUAGGAAGUUCUCUGACGCUAAGAAGCCCAUUGCAUCAGUUUGCCAUGGCCAGCUGAUUCUGGCAGCAGCAGGAGUAGUCAGGGACCGUACAUGCACCGCGUAUCCUGCUGUUAAGCCAGUUUUGGUUGCUGCUGGGGCUAAGUGGGUAGAAGCUGAUACUAUGAAGAAAUGUGUCGUCGAUGGUAAUCUCGUCACUGCGGCGGCUUACGACGGUCACCCUGAAUUCAUCAGCCUGUUUGUGAAAGCACUUGGGGGCUCCGUCGCAGGCUCAGACAAAAAAAUAUUGUUCCUCUGCGGGGACUACAUGGAGGAUUACGAGGUCAUGGUCCCGUUCCAGGCCCUUCAAGCCCUUGGCUGCCAUGUCGAUGCGGUAUGCCCCGACAAGGGCCCCGGUGACAAGUGCCCAACCGCCAUCCAUGACUUUGAAGGGGACCAGACGUACAGCGAGAAGCCUGGUCACGAUUUCCCUUUGAACGCGUCGUUUGACGGCGUGGACGCUUCAAGCUACGACGCGCUUGUGAUCCCAGGUGGGCGUGCCCCCGAGUACCUUGCGCUGAACGAGAAGGUGCUCAGCUUGGCCAAGGGGUUCAUGGAUAAAGGAAAGCCGGUCGCGUCGAUCUGCCACGGGCAGCAGAUCCUGGCUGCUGCCGGGGUUCUUCAGGGCCGGAAGUGCACGGCGUACCCGGCGGUGAAGCUGAACGUGGUGCUGGGCGGGGGGACGUGGCUGGAGCCGGACCCGAUCCACCGGUGCUUCACGGACGGCAACCUGGUGACGGGCGCGGCGUGGCCGGCGCACCCGGAGUUCGUCGCGCAGCUCAUGGCCCUGCUCGGCAUCAAGGUAUCCUUCGCGUGA
rnacentral:rRNA from 1 species